rnacentral:rRNA from 1 species
GAUCCUGGCUCAGGACGAACGCUGGCGGCGUGCUUGACACAUGCAAGUCGAACGCUGAUGGCCCAGCUUGCUGGGUUGGAUGAGUGGCGAACGGGUGAGUAACACGUGAGUAACCUGCCCCCUUCUUUGGGAUAACGGUCGGAAACGGCUGCUAAUACCGGGUAUUCACUGUCCUUCGCAUGGGGGUGGUGGAAGGUUUUUCUGGUGGGGGAGUGGGCUCGCGGCCUAUCAGCUUGUUGGUGGGUGAUGG